UGAGGUUUCAAAGAGAUAAACUCCUCACACUUUGAUGAUGCACCGUGGGAACACUGGUCUUAACACCCUGGAACUGUGACUAGUUGAUGGAUUACUGCUGGUGGCUUUGCGGCCCUUCUGUCUACACUUUCUUCAGUUCCAUGAGAUUUCCAACAAGGGGGGCAAACCUCCAGAGGCCUGUAUCCUGUCAAUGCCAGGGCUUACAGAAAUCAGCCAGACUCUGGUUACUCUGGUUCUUACCCUGGGUGCAAUUCAGCCACUCAAAUAGCACUUGGUGACGGAUAUCAAUGAAUAGCAUUGAGUGAUAGAUACAAAUACAUGGACGUUAUGGGGACAGUGCUCAUAUAGUAAAAUAUGGAUAUGUGCUUGAUGAAACCCUAAUGCUGAUCAAAUGAAGCCAGCAGCAGAGUUUUCCUUCAUUUUUAGGGCAGGGUUUGACACUUGCCUUUACUGAAUCUCCGCUCCUACUUCACUAACUGCACUAGGUCAGCAGUCCCCAGACUCUUCACAAAGCAAGAGACUGGAAUUAGGCUGCUGUGGGAAAAGUGUGACAGAGUCGUAUGAACAAAGUAAAAAUG
rnacentral:lncRNA from 1 species